GGGUUGUGAGGUUAAGCGACUAAGCGUACACGGUGGAUGCCCUGGCAGUCAGAGGCGAUGAAGGACGUGCUAAUCUGCGAUAAGCGCCGGUAAGGUGAUAUGAACCGUUAUAACCGGCGAUUUCCGAAUGGGGAAACCCAGUGUGAUUCGUCACACUAUCAUUAACUGAAUCCAUAGGUUAAUGAGGCGAACCGGGGGAACUGAAACAUCUAAGUACCCCGAGGAAAAGAAAUCAACCGAGAUUCCCCCAGUAGCGGCGAGCGAACGGGGAGGAGCCCAGAGCCUGAAUCAGCAUGUGUGUUAGUGGAAGCGUCUGGAAAGGCGCGCGAUACAGGGUGACAGCCCCGUACACAAAAGCGCAUGUGCUGUGAGCUCGAUGAGUAGGGCGGGACACGUGGUAUCCUGUCUGAAUAUGGGGGGACCAUCCUCCAAGGCUAAAUACUCCUGACUGACCGAUAGUGAACCAGUACCGUGAGGGAAAGGCGAAAAGAACCCCGGCGAGGGGAGUGAAAAAGAACCUGAAACCGUGUACGUACAAGCAGUGGGAGCCCCACCACUAAGCCAGUGGUGAACUCCACAUCCGCAUCCUUUGCUGAGGAUACGGUU
rnacentral:rRNA from 1 species